rnacentral:rRNA from 1 species
AGGAUUAGUGGAGUGCUUAGAAGUGAGAAUGCCGGUAUGAGUAACGAUUCAGAGUGAGAAUCUCUGACGCCUAUUGGGAAAGGUUUCCUGGGGAAGGUUCGUCCACCCAGGGUUAGUCGGGUCCUAAGAUCAGGCUGAAAAGCGUAGUCGAUGGAUAACAGGUUAAUAUUCCUGUACUUCCGAUAGUAAGUGAUGGAGUGACGGAGAAGGAUAAUUCUACCAAUUAAUGGAUUUUGGGGCAAGGAAAUGAGGGGUCAAUGUAGGCAAAUCCGCAUUGUUUAACCUUGAGUUCUGAUGCAUAGGGAAAGUUUCGACAAUUACCGAAUUGAAUGAUUUCACGCUUCCAAGAAAAGCUUCUAAACGUUAUAAAACUAUAGGAACCCGUACCGAGAACGGACACACGUUCCCAAGAUGAGUAUUCUAAGGCGAGCGAGAAAACCAAUGUUAAGGAACUCUGCAAAUUCACCCCGUAAGUUCGCGAGAAGGGGGGCCAUUCUUUGAAUGGCAACAUUAAAUUGUGAGGGGCAACUGUUUAUCAAAAACACAGCUCUCUGCUAAGUCGCAAGACGAUGUAUAGGGGGUGAAGUCUGCCCAGUGCCCGA